GACGAACGCUGGCGGCGUGCUUAACACAUGCAAGUCGAACGGUAAGGCCUCGCUAUUGUGGGGUGCUCGAGUGGCGAACGGGUGUGUCACCCGUGAGUAAAGUGCCCUUGACUUUGGGUUACUUUCACGUAACUGGGGCUACUACCGGAUAGGAGCAACUGCUGCUUGGAGUGGGUUGUCACGUUACGGCGGUUGGGGAUGGACUCGCGGCAUAGCAGCUUGUUGGUGGGGUAGUGUCUUACCAAGGCAUCGACAGGUAGCGGGCCUGAGAGGGGGACCGGCCACAUUGGGACUGAGAUGCGGCACAGACUCCUACGGGACGGAGCAGUGGGGAAUAGUGCACAGCGGGCUGAAGCCUAAUGCAACAACGCCGCGUGCGGUAUGACAGCCAGCCGGUUGUAUACCACAGCCGCCUGAUACGAAGAGUUAGUGACGGUAAUUGAUGAAGAAGCACCGGCUAACUACGUG
rnacentral:rRNA from 1 species